AUGAGCAGCCAGAAAUGCGGCCUGGCCGCCUCGCACCGCGGGCCCCCACCCUCCGGCCGGCCCUUACACCUCCACGCGCGCACGCGCGCGCACGCACAUGCACGCGCCCUUGCACGCGCACACGGCCCGGCCCUCCCUGCCGGAGAAGCCGGAGAAGCGGAGGCCCGGGCACCAGUGACUGACCGCAGGGGAGGGGGAGCUGAGAGAGCCCCACGGAGCCUGCAGUCCCAGGAAACCGGAACGCCUGCUUUCAGGGCCCCGAAGCCCACCGCGAUCCUCCUUGGAGGUCACGUGAAGGGAAGCCUGAAAGUGAAAACCCAGGUCUGGGAGCAUCAGGAGCCUUCCAGGACCACCGUCCAAGGACAGGCAAUCCUGUCCGAAUUUCCAUCCAGUCCGUCGUGUCCCGGGAGGCCGCUUGGUUUCCGGUGGCUUCGCCUGAUUCCUUCCUGCUUCAGAGCAGGCACAGAAGAGAAAUGGCUUGUGCUGGACAGAGAUUCUCUGGUGUCAAAUCUUUAUCAAAGGCUUCCUAGAUCCAGGUGGAGUGAGAACUUCAAGUUCCUAAGCCCAGCCGCUGGCCCAGUUGGGCGAGUGGCUCCCUUGGCUACCUCCAGGACAAGCGGAGGAACGUUUUGGAAUGGACGAAUGCAUUGGCUUAGAAUCUGCAGGGAGGAAGUGACCUCGUCUGCCCACCCCACGGUCGUACCACAGAGCGAGCUCGGGAAUAAAGAUUAAAUUCGACUUGUUUCAAUGGGAUUUAGUUUGAUUUGGUUCAACCCAAAUGAACACUGGCAGUGAGGUGUGCAGGGGGCGAGGCACCGGGGAAAGAUGCAAGGAGAAACCAAGGCAGCCCCCUGAGGGCCCCUGGGGCAGGGUGCUGGCUGGCGCACAGGCUCAGUGUGGGGGGAGGGGCCUCGGCUUGUUCCCACUGGGUCUGGGAUGGCUUGGGGGUGACAGGGAAGGGUAGGAUUUCCUUAGGAGAGACCUGAGUAAGCACACCCAGGGAGAAGCAAAGGGAGAUGCAGAAAACAACCACCGUGCUGAGGUGUGUCCCCUCUAGAGUCACAAGUCUCGCGGGAGAUGGGGCUGCAGAGAAGAAACUAGACAUCUCUCCCGGCUUUUGGCCCUGACAGGGACAGGACGUAAUAAUACGUGAUUUCCUCACGAGUGACACUUUCCUUCUCAAAGCCAUCAAACAGCUGUAGGCAAAAACAAAACAAAAUCAAACAACUGUUUCUCCAACCGUCUCUGAAGGGAAGGUGAAAGGCGCUGAGUUCUUUGGUGUGCGCGUCUCCGAGGUGAAGGCGAUCCAGGGUCAGCCUGGAGCCCCUUGUCAACCCUCGAAAUUGCACAUUCCAUGGGGCCCUUCCCUGUAGUUAGAGCUUUGAAAUCAGUGGAAAACCACAAAGCUUCUUUGAGAUGCAAAUGUUGCGCGCGGGGCUGGGCGAACAAUUCUGAUCGCUAUCUCUCCAGGCCCGGCUUUCUGUAGGGCUUCUGCCUGGUUGACCCCAACGAGGCUAAAUCACAGGUACCGAGGCUUAACACAAGGUAGAAAGUGCUAAGGGCCAUUUGGCAAUGGCCAGGGAAAAGGCAGCUCCAUCUGGCGUGAUCAGGACAGGCUUUAAGUCCCGGGACCAGGGUGCAGGACCCCUGGCUGGCCCAUGUUCGAAUCCUGAUUCCAAAGUAUAAUAGCUGUGUCACUCUGAGCUAAGUGCCUAACCUCUCUGUGCUCCAACGUGCUCCUCUGUAACAUAGGGAUAAUAACAGUACAAUGCCCUCCUCCCAGGGUUGUUGAGAAGAUUGCCUAAACUAAUAUCUGUAAAGCAUGGACGACAGUGUGGGGCAUGGAAUAAGGACUUUGAGAGUCUGUUGCUAUUGAUGAAUGGUUUAAGUAGUUGUACAGAGACUGGAAAGGUAGGGAUAUAAGGAAACAUUCUAGAUGAGGAAAAGUAUAUGUUCAUUCUUGGGACCCUGAGAGCUUUCAAAAAUCAGAAUAAAGUUUCCUUGCAGUCUUUGUGGUCCA
rnacentral:lncRNA from 1 species